GAGUUUGAUCCUGGCUCAGGAUGAACGCUGGCGGCGUGCUUAACACAUGCAAGUCGAACGGAGAUGUUGCAGCAGAAGCGAAUAGCUUGCUAUGAGUGGAAACAGUGGCAUCUUAGUGGCGGACGGGUGAGUAACGCGUGGGCAACCUGCCCUGCACUGGGGGAUAACACUUAGAAAUAGGUGCUAAUACCGCAUAAUAAAAUAUAUUGCAUGAUAUAUUUUUGAAAGCUGCGGCGGUGCAGGAUGGGCCCGCGUCUGAUUAGCCAGUUGGCGGGGUAACGGCCCACCAAAGCGACGAUCAGUAGCCGGCCUGAGAGGGUGGACGGCCACAUUGGGACUGAGACACGGCCCAAACUCCUACGGGAGGCAGCAGUGGGGGAUAUUGGACAAUGGGGGGAACCCUGAUCCAGCGACGCCGCGUGAGUGAAGAAGUAUUUCGGUACGUAAAGCUCUAUCAGCAGGGAAGAAAAGAAUGACGGUACCUGAAUAAGAAGCCCCGGCUAACUACGUGCCCGCAGCCGCGGUAAUACGUAGGGGGCAAGCGUUAUCCGGAUUUACUGGGUGUAAAGGGAGCGCAGACGGCAAUGCAAGCCUGGAGUGAAAGGCGGGGGCC
rnacentral:rRNA from 1 species